UUUUUAGAAUAAGUAUGUCCUGUGAAAUAUUUUGGAUAUAUUUAUACUAAAA
rnacentral:pre_miRNA from 1 species